AAAUUGAAGAGUUUGAUCAUGGCUCAGAUUGAACGCUGGCGGCAGGCCUAACACAUGCAAGUCGAGCGGAAACGGCAGCAUUGAAGCUUCGGUGGAUUUGCUGGACGUCGAGCGGCGGACGGGUGAGUAACGGCUGGGAACCUGCCCUGACGAGGGGGAUAACCGUUGGAAACGACGGCUAAUACCGCAUAAUGUCUUGAUUCGUUAGAGUCAGGACCAAAGGUGGCCUCUACAUGUAAGCUAUCGCGUUGGGAUGGGCCCAGUUAGGAUUAGCUAGUUGGUAAGGUAAUGGCUUACCAAGGCRACGAUCCUUAGCUGGUUUGAGAGGAUGAUCAGCCACACUGGGACUGAGACACGGCCCAGACUCCUACGGGAGGCAGCAGUGGGGAAUAUUGCACAAUGGGGGAGACCCUGAUGCAGCCAUGCCGCGUGUGUGAAGAAGGCCUUCGGGUUGUAAAGCACUUUCAGCAGUGAGGAAGGUGGUGUACUUAAUAAGUGCAUGGCUUGACGUUAGCUGCAGAAGAAGCACCGGCUAACUCCGUGCCAGCAGCCGCGGUAAU
rnacentral:rRNA from 1 species